UGUUCUUUGGCAUAGUUGGUUAAAGCGCCGGUCUAGCGAAUACGGAGUCGUGGGUUCGAAUCCCACCAGAACGC
rnacentral:tRNA from 1 species